rnacentral:tRNA from 1 species
AGCCAGUUAGUCUAAUGUUGAAGGCACCAGGCUAGAAACCAGGAAACUGUGGAUUCUAGUCCCUCCUUAGCUG